rnacentral:tRNA from 1 species
GGCUCGGUAGCUUAGUUGGUAAAGCGCUCGUUUAGCAUACUAGAGUUCUGGAUUCGAACCCUAGACGAGCAC